rnacentral:rRNA from 1 species
AACGAACGCUGGCGGCAGGCUUAACACAUGCAAGUCGAGCGCCCCGCAAGGGGAGCGGCAGACGGGUGAGUAACGCGUGGGAACGUACCUUUUGGUUCGGAACAACUCCGGGAAACUGGAGCUAAUACCGGAUAAGCCCUAACGGGGAAAGAUUUAUCGCCGAAAGAUCGGCCCGCGUCUGAUUAGCUAGUUGGUGAGGUAACGGCUCACCAAGGCGACGAUCAGUAGCUGGUCUGAGAGGAUGAUCAGCCACACUGGGACUGAGACACGGCCCAGACUCCUACGGGAGGCAGCAGUGGGGAAUAUUGGACAAUGGGCGCAAGCCUGAUCCAGCCAUGCCGCGUGAGUGAUGAAGGCCUGAGGGUUGUAAAGCUCUUUUGUCCGGGAAGAUAAUGACUGUACCGGAAGAAUAAGCCCCGGCUAACUUCG